CAUAAGCCUGGGUAGUUUUGUUAAGCUAGAGUUCCGCGUGGGCCUGAAAGGGACAAGUGUUACAGACACGCAAAGUUAUAGCAGUAGUUAUGGGAACGCUAACAGUCAGUUGUUGCUGUUGGACAUCACAACAAAUAUCAUGAAGAAUAAAAAGUUCAAUAACUUGUUCCAAUCUUUAUGGGACAAACAGAAAUUGAACGGAAGAAAAUCAAGGAACAAUAAAAGCGUUAGCUUUCCUAGUGGGAUACAUCUGCUGUUGAUAGUUUGAACAACAGUAGGGUUACGGACUGCCCCAGAUUGUCCUCUCAGCGGCCUGAAUAUCAUAAUAGAACGGACUUUUGGCAAUAUUUCUGACAAAGAAAGGCAAUAAUGACUUGGUUGUGAAUACCCAGAGCACGAUACAUCCAUGCUGACAAAGAACCCGGUAAUGACUUGGUUGUGAACACCCAGAGCGGGAUACAUCCAUGCUGACGCAGUAAGGCAGUAAUGACUUGGUUGUGAACACCCAGAGCACAAUACAUUCGUGCUGAUACAGAAAGGCAGUAAUGACUUGGUUGUGAACACCCGGAGCAUAAUACAUCCAUGCUGACACAGAAAGGCAGUAAUGACUAUGAUGUGAACACCCAGAGCAAGAUAUAUCUAUGCUGACACAGAAAGGCAGUAAUGACUAUGCUGUGAACACCCAGAGCACAAUACAUCCAUGCUGAAACAGAAAGGCAGUAAUGACUUGGUUGUGAACACAGAGCACAAUACAUCCUUGUUGACACAGAAAGGCAGUAAUGACUUUGCAGUGAACUCAGAGCACGAUACAUCAAUGCUGACACAGAAAGGCAGUAAUGACUUGGAUGUAAACACCCAGAGCACAAUACAUCCAUGAUUACACAGAAAGGCAGUAAAGACUUGGUUGUAAACACUAAGAUAUCCAUACAUCCAUGGUGUGUGCCACAGACGAAAAUUACGCCCACCAUUUUGAACAAGGUGCUUAAAGUGAACACGUCUGGUUUUGUUAUGAGCACUUAGCACUCCGAGUCCAAAAGGCCUCACAUUGAAUUGAUGCAAGAGAAGGCUUUGAAAAAUAACAGCAGUUUUGUUGUGUGGUCCAGUACGCCCUUCGACUCGCAACCUGAAGAAAGCAGAACUCAAACUCGGCUCUUAGCAAUAUCAGCAAGGUCAGCAUGUCAUCUCAGCUUCUAGAGCUUCAGUGAACUUUACUAGCAAACAUGACAAACGUCAUUGAAAUGAAAGUCGAUGACAACCCCCUUCUUGCACAAAUACUACAACUUGCUUAAGAAAAUCAGCAUGAAGACGUCAUGAGUCAUACUACCAAGCCUCCUAUCAAUAUAUCCUCCCAUGCUGGCUACAUCAACACUUCCAACAGCAGAGCCUUGGUGAGUUUGACUUCCGUCUCAGCAUCCAUGUCGCUUAGCAACAAUUGAAUGAUGGGCGUCGACAAAUUAGGCCGGACAAGUCGCUCAAACUGAAACGAUCUGAUCCAACAGGUAGAGCAAGGGUUGCGUGACACGUCCGUUAAUGUGACUGACCUCGAUAUGUUGCUCUCGAAUAAUGUGAACCUUAGGCCUGGAGAGCAGUAUGUGAUUGACGCCAUUCAACAACAGUUGUUAUUGGCAAUUCUCAGGUUUGGGGUGGCGACUUCAGCGUCAGGACUCGCUCCAUCUCUGUCUAUGGCCCAGUCCCAGCAGCAGCAACAAGAACAACAAGUAGUAUCUGAGCAGUGUUCUGGGAUAUGGGGCUUCAUGAAUGUGCUUAAAUUGUCAUCGCAGACUAGCCUGUGCAGAUUGCACCUACAUUAAGUCCUAUUAAAUUGUCAUCCCAGAUUAGCCUGUGCAGACUGCACAUACAUUAAGUCCUAUUAAAUUGUCAUCCCAGAUUAGCCUGUGCAGACUGCACAUACAUUAAGUCCUAUUAAAUUGUCAUCCCAGAUAAGCCUGUGCAGACUGCACAUACAUUAAGUCCUAUUAAAGUGUCAUCCCAGAUUAGCCUGUGCAGACUGCACAUAUAUUAAGUCCUAUUAAAUUGUCAUCCCAGAUAAGCCUGUGCAGACUGCACAUACAUUAAGUCCUAUUAAAUUGUCAUCCCAGAUUAGCCUGUGCAGAUUGCACAUACAUUAAGUCCUAUUAAAUUGUCAUCCCAGAUUAGCCUGUGCAGACUGCACAUACAUUAAGUCCUAUUAAAUUGUCAUCCCAGAUUAGCCUGUGCAGACUGCACAUACAUUAAGUCCUAUUAAAUUGUCAUCCCAGAUAAGCCUGUGCAGACUGCACAUACAUUAAGUCCUAUUAAAGUGUCAUCCCAGAUUAGCCUGUGCAGACUGCACAUACAUUUAGUCCUAUUGUUUCCCAGAAUGUGGCUCAUAUAAUUCACUUAACAUCAGUAUUUUCCGUUGUCUGCCUGAUUGAGGAAAAGUUCAUAGCAUCAAAUGGGAAUUCUGUGUCUUUAUAUUGAUCAAACUUGGUAAAUGAAUGCAAAUAACACUGGAUUUAAUAUAAGUUUUAAUCUUAGUAUGUCAGGGCAUAGUUUGUCUAUUUUGCGGCCGAAAUUCAGCUCCUGAACCAAAAGUUUCUCCAUGCAUGAAAACUUUUCUAUUCCAUUUUAGUAAAACAAUUAUUUAAAUGCUUUCAGUACAUUAUAAAAUUAUUGUCUUCAUUAUUUUUCGAUAUUUAUUUAAAUUCUUGGAAUCUGUUUUAAGAGCCGGUUCCUACAGGACCCGAUGCACUGAUUAUGCACAUGUGACUCUUGUACGCAGCUGAAUAAAAGGCUCUCUGGUCAGCUGGACCCGGACACCAAGGGACACUUCCUGCCCAAGUACCGUGAGGCAAAUGCUCAAUGAGUUCUACCCGAAGUGUGCAGCGUCUCUAGACCUGUGGCUCCAGACUGUCUUACCCAGGGGCCAAGAUUACUUUAUCUGCAAGAGGCCUCAUACUCACAGGUUCCCCAACUACAACUCAGCCACAACAUCCUAAUCGGAAAGUCCUGUUGCCAUGGCAAAACGGGACAACUUGUCAAUCAACAUGGAACAGUACCCUGAAAAUCACGACCAUCUAAAGAACUGUGUAACUGUGCCAAGCGUGACCCUUUAGAGAAAGGGGCUUCCAAAUUGUGGCCGUUGUUCAGUGUCAAGCGGAAUCCUAGCAACCAAGCCACGUCAGCACAGCAUCAAAAACAGUUUCAGCAGCAGUCGUAUACUAAACAUCAACAACAGUGGUGCAUAUGCAUUAAACUACGAGAGGUAUGAAUGCAAAUAUGUCUUAAACAAGUUGACUGCGUAAUGUGGCAUCAAAGUCUGCAAGGAGAAACCAUGCAGUUGAGGAAGCCAAGAAACCAUGUGAUAAUUUCAAGCAGCUUACCUACUCUUGAAACCCGGAUAGCAAAGCAUUGAGAUUGUUCUGGAAGCAUUUGUAGUCACAGCUCAUUAAGCAUCCCCCUGAAGCAGGACCCUCAGUCUACGGACGCCAAUUGACGAAAUAAAACUUGUCAUUCAGCAACACAGCCAGUUGCAGCAGUUGUUACCAUAUUGACCCCAGUCAAAACUAGGAGCUCAGAGACAAUCAGCAACACAGCCAGUUGCAGCAGUUGUUACCAUAUUGACCCCAGUCAAAACUAGGAGCUCAGAGACAAUCAGCAACACAGCCAGUUGCAGCAGUUGUUACCAUAUUGACCCCAGUCAAAACUAGGAGCUCAGAGACAAUCAGCAACACAGCCAGUUGCAGCAGUUGUUACCGUAUUGACCCCAGUCAAAACAAGGAGCUCAGAGAUAACACAGCCAGUUACAGCAGUUGUUACCGUAUGGACCCCAGUCAAAACAAGGAGCUCAGAGAUAAAUACUGUUUAAGAUAGAUAUUCUCUACAUUCCUCAUGGUCAGGCAACACAGCCAGUUGCAGCAGUUGUUACCAUCUUGACCCCAGUCAAAACUAAGAGCUCAGAGACAAUCAGCAACACAGCCAGUUGCAGCAGUUGUUACCGUAUGACCCCAGUCAAAACUAGAAGCUCAGAGACAAUCAGCAACACAGCCAGUUGCAGCAGUUGUUACCGUAUUGACCCCAGUCAAAACUAGGAGCUCAGAGACAAUCAGCAACACAGCCAGUUGCAGCAGUUGUUACUGUAUGACCCCAGUCAAAACUAGGAGCUCAGAGACAAUCAGCAACACAGCCAGUUGCAGCAGUUGUUACCGUAUGACCCCAGUCAAAACUAAGAGCUCAGAGACAAUCAGCAACACAGCAAGUUGCAGCAGUUGUUACCAUAUUGACCCCAGUCAAAACUAAGAGCUCGGAGACAAUCAGCAACACAGCCAUUUGCAGCAGUUGUUACCAUAGUGACCCCAGUCAAAACUAGGAGCUUAGAGAUAAAUACUGUUUAAGAUAGAUAUUCUCUACAUUCCUCAUGGUCAGGCAACACAGCCAGUUGCAGCAGUUGUUACCGUAUUGACCCCAGUCAAAACUAGGAGCUCAGAGACAAUCAGCAACACAGCCAGUUGCAGCAGUUGUUAACAAAUUGACCCCAGUCAAAACUAGGAGCUCAGAGACAAUCAGCAACACAGCCAGUUGCAGCAGUUGUUACCGUAUGACCCCAGUCAAAAGUAGGAGCUCAGAGACAAUCAGCAACACAGCAAGUUGCAGCAGUUGUUACCGUAUGACCCCAGUCAAAACUAAGAGCUCAGAGACAAUCAGCAACACAGCAAGUUGCAGCAGUUGUUACCAUAUUGACCCCAGUCAAAACUAAGAGCUCAGAGACAAUCAGCAACACAGCCAUUUGCAGCAGUUGUUACCAUAGUGACCCCAGUCAAAACUAGGAGCUCAGAGAUAAAUACUGUUUAAGAUAGAUAUUCUCUACAUUCCUCAUGGUCAGGCAACACAGCCAGUUGCAGCAGUUGUUACCGUAUUGACCCCAGUCAAAACUAAGAGCUCAGAGACAAUCAGCAAUACAGCCAGUUGCAGCAGUUGUUACCAUAUUGACCCCAGUCAAACUAGGAGCUCAGAGACAAUCAGCAACACAGCGAGUUGCAGCAGUUGUUACCGUAUGACCCCAGUCAAAACUAAGAGCUCAGAGACAAUCAGCAACACAGCCAGUUGCAGCAGUUGUUACCGUAUGACCCCAGUCAAAACUAGGAGCUCAGAGACAAUCAGCAACACAGCAAGUUGCAUCAGUUGUUACCGUAUGACCCCAGUCAAAACUAAGAGCUCAGAGACAAUCAGCAACACAGCAAGUUGCAGCAGUUGUUACCAUAUUGACCCCAGUCAAAACUAAGAGCUCAGAGACAAUCAGCAACACAGCCAGUUGCAGCAGUUGUUACCGUAUGACCCCAGUCAAAACAAAGAGCUCAGAGAUAAAUACUGUUUAAGAUAGAUAUUCUCUACAUUCCUCAUGGUCAGGCAACACAGCCAGUUGCAGCAGUUGUUACCAUAUUGACCCCAGUCAAAACUAAGAGCUCAGAGACAAUCAGCAACACAGCCAGUUGCAGCAGUUGUUACCAUAUUGACCCCAGUCAAAACUAGGAGCUCAGAGACAAUCAGCAACACAGCCAGUUGCAGCAGUUGUUACCAAAUUGACCCCAGUCAAAACUAGGAGCUCAGAGACAAUCAGCAACACAGCCAGUUGCAGCAGUUGUUACCAUAUUGACCCCAGUCAAAACUAGGAGCUCAGAGACAAUCAGCAACACAGCCAGUUGCAGCAGUUGUUACCAAAUUGACCCCAGUUACAACUAGGAGCUCAGAGACAAUCAGCAACACAGCAAGUUGCAGCAGUUGUAACCGUAUGACCCCAGUCAAAACUAGGAGCUCAGAGAUAAAUACUGAUUAAGAUAGAUAUUCUCUACAUUCCUCAUGGUCAGGCAACACAGCCAGUUGCAGCAGUUGUUACCAUAUUGACCCCAGUCAAAACUAGGAGCUCAGAGACAAUCAGCAACACAGCCAGUUGCAGCAGUUGUUACCAAAUUGACCCCAGUUACAACUAGGAGCUCAGAGACAAUCAGCAACACAGCAAGUUGCAGCAGUUGUUACCGUAUGACCCCAGUCAAAACUAGGAGCUCAGAGAUAAAUACUGUUUAAGAUAGAUAUUCUCUACAUUCCUCAUGGUAUGUUAAGCACAAACUCUGACAGAUCUCAUCUUUGAACUUUGUAACGGGCGAAAAAUAAAUGACCUUGUUCAGAAUGAAAUGGCAGAAUGACAAAGCACAACAAUUUAAGGGGAAACCAUAAAUUAAUGUGACCAGCAAAGAUGUGUUCAAAGCAAAACAAUAUGUCAUGUCUUUGGGGACUUUGAAUUUUGAUGGUGUCAUUCAUUAAACAUUGAAUAUUUUUGUUAAAUAUAGUUAAAUAUAAUGAUAUAAAGGAUAUUUGAUUAAGGCGUGUAUGUUAAUUAUUACUUAAAGCACAAAUAUAGCACGUCUAUCAAUUACUUAUGAAACUUGCACCUGAUAAUGAUAAAUGCAUGAAAAUUAAAUUGUACUUAAGACAUUAUUUCAUACGUUGAGCUUAAGAAAAUUGAAAGCUGUUUAAAUUAUGCUGGUAACAUUAUAUACAAAAAAUGUAUUGGAUUAUAUUCAUGUAAAAAACAAGUUUCAGUUUUCUGUUGUUACAUGCAAUAUAGAAGUAUUAUCAAGAAUCGUGUUAAGUAUGGCAGUAUUCGAAAUGAAUAUUCAUUAAAUAAAGACAAAAUCAUUUAAUCUUCUUUCAAUUGUCAAUUCUGUAUGUACUAUUACUACCUUAUUUAUUUGACUUGAUAUGGUUUGUUAAAUUAUAAGAUAAUGCAUCUUAAUUUGGAAAGCUUUCAAUGUUUUGACACUGAGUAUUUAAAAAUGAAUUAUUAAAAGAAUUAUGAAAAAUCAUGACUGAUGUCAAAGUUAUGUUUGAUUUUGCCAAUUUUGUGUUGAUAUUUAAUAUACAUGUACUUACAUGCUCAUAAGUGUUGACAUUUGUUUUUGAACAUAAUAGUUUUUUAUGUUUUAUAUCGUGUAUAUACACAUUUACAAGUCCAAAUUUUCAUCCUCUCAAUCACUCAGUAACUUUACCAACAAUAAAUGUUGGAUCUCUGUAUAUAGGUAAAUUGUGCAAUUGAUAUAUAGAGCAACUGCAACAAAUCAGUCAGUUACAAAUCAAGGCAGAGUGAUGUAAUAUGCUGGCAAUUGUUAAGUAGUGCAGUUGUCUCUUUUUGUUCUCAGGUAAGAACAAUGUUGUUUGCUUCAAAAAUAAAAACACAGUCUCCCUUGUAAGAAAAUUAAUGUGUUCACAUCUCAACAUAACAAGUAAAUUCAUAGAGAAAAUCAAAUUAUUUACAUGAUAUACUCAACAAUUAGUCUAAUGGAAUUUGUAGAAUAAAAAAUAACAUGUAAUUAUGACGAUUAUAAGUGAAUGUUUGACACAAAAUGUCUCUUCAGAAAUGUGUAUAUUUUAAUGAUAAAUCUAUACAUUGUACUUGCUGUACUUUUUAUAGUAUAUUUUAUGAACGUGCAGCUGAUAAGUGAAUGUGACAAUUUACGAGUUAUGUUACAAUUUGUUUCACGUUGACAUGGCCACAUAAGCUGUUAAUGGAGUGCAUUCACUGCGGCCAGUUUCCAGAAAUCUCCCAAUUAAAAAACUUCACAAAAUAUCUUAAGAUCAGAUAGUUUGGUUGUUGACAUUAGUUUUGAUUUAUUUAUUGAUUGUGUUAUGCCUUGUACUCUUAAUUUGUUAUCAAAUAUUUAAGUUUAUGUGACUUGAAGAGACUUACAUGUUUAUUUUAUUGAUGUGUUUGUGCUGAUUUCUUGCAUUCUGAUUUAAGAAUAUUCAAGUGGAAAAAGAAUAUUAUUAUGCAUUGAAAGUGUGUUGUGAUUUCAAAUAAAAAUACUAUGAAAAUAUAGUUCAGUCGUUCGAUUACAAAUUUAUUACAAAGGUGAUCAAUUGCUCAUCAAGUGUAGGUGUUUGCAUACGGACAUAAUAUGUCUGUGCUUUAUAUGUAUAUAAUGUAGAUCCCCAUUUACCAGAACAUAUUUUGAUGUGCUUAAAUGUGCUAAUAGCCUGAUGAAAUUCGUGUUGACUAUGCGUUUUACAUUUUGCCAUUUUUAUUUAAAAAAUGAAAAACAAAUGAAUUGUCAGUGUAAAUAAAUACUGUAUUGUUGUUCAAUCAGUUAAACUAUUUCACUGUUUUCAUGCAUAUGUUCAAAUCAUUUUCAUUUUUGUUCAAUCUUUAAGAUGCAACGCUUGUGUAAUUUAGUUUAUGAAACUUAUAUAUACACAAAAAUGUAGUACAGAUGUAUAUCAAAUGACUGCUGUGGGCUUGUGGUAAACAGAAAACCAUGCUUUAAAUUGAAAAACCUUGUUAUAUGCCAUGUUUUUCAUUUAAUAAUAUUAAAAGCACUCUUGAAAUUGAACUUCUUGAAAAUAUGUUUCAUUGUUUUGUAAAAAUAUCUUAAGUUAUCUAUUCUAAAUUAUCUAUUCUUAUAUAAGAAAUACAAAUUAAAAUUGGUUAUUGGAAAUAAGUCAAUUAAAAGUCAAGGGAUAAUGAUGUAAUGUACUUAAAAAUGUCAAAACUGCUAUUGUCUCUAUUUGUAUUCUAGAUAUGUUAUAUCCUUAAACAAACAAAUACAAUGUUGUCUCCUUGUUGAAUAGGUGUUGUGUACCUCUGAACAUGUCAAGUCAUUUACUUUAAGUAUUUUAAAUUAGUUCUCACUAUCUGCACCCGUAAGUCACUCAUGAAUUUUGUGUAAUAAACAUUGGAUAAAUAUAUUUUUAUAUAAUCAAUUAUAAGAUAAGGUAAAAAGUGUAUGUGCGUUAUAAGUAAUAAACAUUGGAUAAAUAUAUUUUUAUAUAAUCGAUUAUAAGAUAAGGUGAAAAAUGUAUGAGCGUUAUUAGUAAUAAACAUUGGAUAAAUAUAUUUUUAUAUAAUCGAUUACAAGAUAAGGUGAAUAGUGUAUGUGCGUUAUUAAAUUCAUCAGGUAUGACCAUACUGUGCUACAAGUUUUGUAAUUGUGACUAUUAAAAGUACAUGAUCUGCAAAAAAUGUCACUUAAACAAAUGUGUAUAUGUUUAUCAUUAUUAAAUUCUUUCCAACUAGA